rnacentral:rRNA from 1 species
CAGUCGCCACGGUAAUACGAAGGGUGCAAGCGUUAAUCGGAAUUACUGGGCGUAAAGCGUGCGUAGGCGGUUCGUUAAGUCUGUUGUGAAAGCCCCGGGCUCAACCUGGGAAUGGCAAUGGAUACUGGCGAGCUAGAGUGUGUCAGAGGAUGGUGGAAUUCCCGGUGUAGCGGUGAAAUGCGUAGAGAUCGGGAGGAACAUCAGUGGCGAAGGCGGCCAUCUGGGACAACACUGACGCUGAGGCACGAAAGCGUGGGGAGCAAACAGGAUUAGAUACCCCCGUAGUCCCUGUCUCUUAUAC